rnacentral:tRNA from 1 species
GCGGUCGUGGCGAAAUUGGUAGACGCGCUAGAUUCAGGGUCUAGUACUUAACAGGUAUGCGGGUUCAACUCCCACCGACCGCACCA